ACUUAAGUAAUUAAAUUUAUAAUAUAAUACUGAAGAUAUUAAUUUAGGAUAAAUCCUCUUAAGUA
rnacentral:tRNA from 1 species